UACGGAGGGUGCAAGCGUUAUCCGGAUUUACUGGGUUUAAAGGGUGUGUAGGCGGACUAUUAAGUCAGCGGUGAAAUCUCCGGGCUCAACCCGGAACUGCCAUUGAUACUAUUAGUCUUGAAUGUUGUUGAGGUGGGCGGAACGGGUCAUGUAGCGGUGAAAUGCAUAGAUAUGACCCGGAACACCGAUUGCGAAGGCAGCCCACUAAGCAAUGAUUG
rnacentral:rRNA from 1 species